rnacentral:rRNA from 1 species
CUACGGGGCGCAGCAGUGGGGAAUAUUGGGCAAUGGGCGCAAGCCUGACCCAGCAACGCCGCGUGAGGGAAGAAGGUUUUCGGAUUGUAAACCUCUGUCCUUGGGGACGAAGAAGUGACGGUACCCAAGGAGGAAGCUCCGGCUAACUACGUGCCAGCAGCCGCGGUAAUACGUAGGGAGCAAGCGUUGUCCGGAAUUACUGGGCGUAAAGGGUGCGUAGGCGGCAUAUUAAGUCCGGUGUGAAAUACUCGGGCUCAACCCGGGGGCUGCAUUUGAAACUGAUAUGCUUGAGUGUGAGAGAGGAAAGUGGAAUUCCUAGUGUAGCGGUGGAAUGCGUAGAUAUUAGGAGGAACACCAGUGGCGAAGGCGACUUUCUGGCUCAUAACUGACGCUGAUGCACGAAAGCGUGGGGAGCAAACAGGAUUAGAUACCCUCGUAGUC